GGAGGCAGCAGUGGGGAAUUUUGGACAAUGGGCGCAAGCCUGAUCCAGCAAUGCCGCGUGCGGGAAGAAGGCCUUCGGGUUGUAAACCGCUUUUGGUAGGAACGAAAAGCUCUGGGCUAAUACCCUGGGGUGAUGACGGUACCUGCAGAAUAAGCACCGGCUAACUACGUGCCAGCAGCCGCGGUAAUACGUAGGGUGCAAGCGUUAAUCGGAAUUACUGGGCGUAAAGCGUGCGCAGGCGGUUAUAUAAGUCAGAUGUGAAAUCCCCGGGCUCAACCUGGGAACUGCAUUUGAGACUGUAUAGCUAGAGUACGGUAGAGGGGGAUGGAAUUCCGCGUGUAGCAGUGAAGUGCGUAGAUAUGCGGAGGAACACCGAUGGCGAAGGCAAUCCCCUGGACCUGUACUGACGCUCAUGCACGAAAGCGUGGGGAGCAAACAGGAUUAGAUACCCUGGUAGUCCACGCCCUAAACGAUGUCAACUGGUUGUUGGGUCUUAACUGACUCAGUAACGAAGCUAACGCGUGAAGUUGACCGCCUGGGGAGUACGGCCGUAAGGUUGAAACUCAAAUGAAUUGACGG
rnacentral:rRNA from 1 species